UGGGGAAUUUUGGACAAUGGGCGAAAGCCUGAUCCAGCAAUGCCGCGUGUGUGAAGAAGGCCUUCGGGUUGUAAAGCACUUUUGUCCGGAAAGAAAUCCUUGGCUCUAAUACAGUCGGGGGAUGACGGUACCGGAAGAAUAAGCACCGGCUAACUACGUGCCAGCAGCCGCGGUAAUACGUAGGGUGCAAGCGUUAAUCGGAAUUACUGGGCGUAAAGCGUGCGCAGGCGGUUUGCUAAGACCGAUGUGAAAUCCCCGGGCUCAACCUGUGAACUGCAUUGGUGACUGGCAGGCUAGAGUAUGGCAGAGGGGGGUAGAAUUCCACGUGUAGCAGUGAAAUGCGUAGAGAUGUGGAGGAAUACCGAUGGCGAAGGCAGCCCCCUGGGCCAAUACUGACGCUCAUGCACGAAAGCGUGGGGAGCAAACAGGAUUAGAUACCCUGGUAGUCCACGCCCUAAACGAUGUCAACUAGUUGUUGGGGAUUCAUUUCCUUAGUAACGUAGCUAACGCGUGAAGUUGACCGCCUGGGGAGUACGGUCGCAAGAUUAAAACUCAAAGGAAUUGACGGGG
rnacentral:rRNA from 1 species